rnacentral:misc_RNA from 1 species
GUGAAUCAUCAAAUCUUUGAACGCAAAUUGCACUCUCCGGUUUUCCGGGAGAGUAUGCCUGUUUGAGGGUCAGCCUAAAAAAAAUCGACAUUGUUGCUGUUUUAUGGUGACUUUCGUCGGAGAUGGGUUAUCUUAAAUCUCGGUUAAAGCGCUUCAAAAUUUUUUUUUAGGAUUUUAAGAUUGUUUCUAGAUUUUUCAU